GGGAAAUGAGGAGUGGUACAGGCUCGCUGAAUUUGUGCGAGAGGGGUGCCCGCCCCAAUAAGCCUGUUACGACACUGGGGCAUCCCAAGUGAUUUACCAUCUGAUCCU
rnacentral:snoRNA from 1 species